CUGCUGCAAAAAUAGCCUCGGUAAGGAACUUAUUUUGGUGGAACAUGUGUACGUUCAAAAGUUGUUUUAGUCGUGCAACAGAAAACUCAGAUUGGACAGAUAUAAUGUAAUUCAAGUGGACUGUGAGAAA